rnacentral:miRNA from 1 species
GGAUGCAUCUUGUGCAGUUAUG